rnacentral:rRNA from 1 species
AGGCUAACACAUGCAAGUCGAGGGGUAUAAGUCUUCGGAUUUAGAGACCGGCGCACGGGUGCGUAACGCGUAUGCAAUCUGCCUUACACUAAGGGAUAGCCCAGAGAAAUUUGGAUUAAUACCUUAUAGUAUAUGAUGGGGACAUCCCUGACAUAUUAAAGUUCCAACGGUGUAAGAUGAGCAUGCGUCCCAUUAGUUAGUUGGUGUGGUAACGGCACACCAAGACAAUGAUGGGUAGGGGUCCUGAGAGGGAGUUCCCCACACUGGUACUGAGACACGGACCAGACUCCUACGGGAGGCAGCAGUGAGGAAUAUUGGUCAAUGGGCGCAAGCCUGAACCAGCCAUGCCGCGUGCAGGAUGACGCAUCUAUGGUGUGUAAACUGCUUUUGUACGGGAAGAAACCCUGCCACGUGUGGCAGAUUGACGGUACCGUAAGAAUAAGGAUCGGCUAACUCCGUGCCAGCAGCCGCGGUAAUACGGAGGAUCCAAGCGUUAUCCGGAA